CCAAAGUCUUCUCAGCUCUGUCGCCCGAUCAGCUGCGUGGGCGCUGCUCCCUGGGCUGAGAGCCUCAGGCUGUAACGCCCAUCUUCUCCAGUUGGAGUCGGGAAAAGGGAGCGUCAGUGCUGAGCGAGCUUCGGUCUCUUCCCUCAGUGUUUCUGCCCCAGGGCCUGCAACAUCAGCAUCCCUGACUACGUACAGUGUGCUGAGGACUCUGAGACUCUUCCCGUGGUGGUCCAACACGUGGGGAUCAUCUCAGAGGAGAAUUUCUUUUGCAUCUAUAAGCGAAUCUCCUCGUUGAGCCAGAUCAGCCCGUAGGCUCCCAGUGGGCAAUCUGUAUCCACUACAGGCACCACUAUGCACCUGAGAAUGGGUGGAGCGACUUUCAGACCCACCGCAAGGUCGUGGGCCUUGUCACCAUUACCGAGUACCUCUCGGCCAAGGCCUUCGAGAAUCUCCACGUGCAGAGGAGCUGUAUGGCACCACGCUUAAUGACUCUCAGCUCUUUGUCUUUGUGCUGCAUGAGGAGGUAGCCGAGCAGUCGCUCACCAACGUGGCCUUCAAUCUACGAGGACUGCAGGGUGGUGGAGAAGAGGAUCGAGGACUUCACUGA